AACGAACGCUGGCGGCAGGCCUAACACAUGCAAGUCGAGCGCUCACUUCGGUGGGAGCGGCGGACGGGUUAGUAACGCGUGGGAACGUGCCCAGAUCUGCGGAAUAGCCACUGGAAACGGUGAGUAAUACCGCAUACGCCCUUCGGGGGAAAGAUUUAUCGGAUUUGGAUCGGCCCGCGUUAGAUUAGGUAGUUGGUGGGGUAAUGGCCUACCAAGCCUACGAUCUAUAGCUGGUUUUAGAGGAUGAUCAGCAACACUGGGACUGAGACACGGCCCAGACUCCUACGGGAGGCAGCAGUCGGGAAUAUUGGACAAUGGGGAAACCCUGAUCCAGCCAUGCCGCGUGAGUGAUGAAGGCCUUAGGGUUGUAAAGCUCUUUCGCCGGGGAAGAUAAUGACGGUACCAGUAAAGAGCCCCGG
rnacentral:rRNA from 1 species